UGGGGAAUUUUGGACAAUAGGCGAAAGCCUGAUCCAGCAAUGCCGCGUGUGUGAAGAAGGCCUUCGGGUUGUAAAGCACUUUUGUCCGGAAAGAAAUCCUUGGCUCUAAUACAGUCGGGGGAUGACGGUACCGGAAGAAUAAGCACCGGCUAACUACGUGCCAGCAGCCGCGGUAAUACGUAGGGUGCAAGCGUUAAUCGGAAUUACUGGGCGUAAAGCGUGCGCAGGCGGUUUGCUAAGACCGAUGUGAAAUCCCCGGGCUCAACCUGGGAACUGCAUUGGUGACUGGCAGGCUAGAGUAUGGCAGAGGGGGGUAGAAUUCCACGUGUAGCAGUGAAAUGCGUAGAGAUGUGGAGGAAUACCGAUGGCGAAGGCAGCCCCCUGGGCCAAUACUGACGCUCAUGCACGAAAGCGUGGGGAGCAAACAGGAUUAGAUACCCCGGUAGUCCACGCCCUAAACGAUGUCAACUAGUUGUUGGGGAUUCAUUUCCUUAGUAACGUAGCUAACGCGUGAAGUUGACCGCCUGGGGAGUACGGUCGCAAGAUUAAAACUCAAAUGAAUUGACGGGGUCAUA
rnacentral:rRNA from 1 species